CAGCAGCCGCGGGAAUACGUAGGGUGCGAGCGUUAAUCGGAAUUACUGGGCGUAAAGCGUGCGCAGGCGGUUGUGUAAGACAGGUGUGAAAUCCCCGGGCUUAACCUGGGAACUGCGCUUGUGACUGCACAGCUAGAGUAUGGCAGAGGGGGGUGGAAUUCCACGUGUAGCAGUGAAAUGCGUAGAGAUGUGGAGGAACACCGAUGGCGAAGGCGGCCCCCUGGGCCAAUACUGACGCUCAUGCACGAAAGCGUGGGGAGCAAACAGGAUUAGAUACCCCCGUAGUCCCUGUCUCUUAUAC
rnacentral:rRNA from 1 species